CAAGUCGAACGAUUAAGACUUCCUUCGGGAAGUGCAUAAAGUGGCGCACGGGUGAGUAACACGUAAGUAAUCUACCUUCGAGUGGGGAAUAACGUCCGGAAACGGACGCUAAUACCGCAUAAUGCAGCGGCAUCGAAAGAUGACAGUUGUUAAAGGAGCAAUUCGCUUGAAGAGGAGCUUGCGGCAGAUUAGCUAGUUGGUAAGGUAAUGGCUUACCAAGGCUUCGAUCUGUAUCCGGUCUAAGAGGACGGUCGGACACACUGACACUGAAUAACGGGUCAGACUCCUACGGGAGGCAGCAGUCGGGAAUUUUGGGCAAUGGGCGAAAGCCUGACCCAGCAACGCCGCGUGAAGGAUGAAGUAUUUCGGUAUGUAAACUUCGAAAGAAUGGGAAGAACUCAAUGACGGUACCAUUUAUAAGCUCCGGCUAACUACGUGCCAGCAGCCGCGGUAAUACGUAGGGAGCAAGCGUUGUUCGGAUUUACUGGGCGUAAAGGGCGCGUAGGCGGCAAAUUAAGUCAGCUGUGAAAUCUCCGAGCUUAACUCGGAACUGUCAGCUGAUACUGAUCUGCUAGAGUGCGGAAGGGGCAAUCGGAAUUCUUGGUGUAGCGGUGAAAUGCGUAGAUAUCAAGAGGAACACCUGAGGUGAAGACGGGUUGCUGGGCCGACACUGACGCUGAGUGCGCGAAAGCCAGGGGAGCAAACGGGAUUAGAUACCCCGGUAGUCCUGGCCUUAAACGAUGAAUACUUGGUGUCUGGAGUCUCUAUAGCUCCGGGUGCCGUCGCUAACGUUUUUAGUAUUCCGCCUGGGGAGUACGCACGCAAGUGUGAAACUCAAAGGAAUUGACGGGGACCCGCACAAGCGGUGGA
rnacentral:rRNA from 1 species